rnacentral:rRNA from 1 species
UACGUAGGGUGCGAGCGUUGUCCGGAAUUAUUGGGCGUAAAGAGCUCGUAGGCGGUGUGUCACGUCGUUCGUGAAAACCUGCAGCUUAACUGUGGGCGUGCGGUCGAUACGGGCAUCACUGGAGUUCGGCAGGGGAGACUGGAAUUCCUGGUGUAGCGGUGAAAUGCGCAGAUAUCAGGAGGAACACCGGUGGCGAAGGCGGUGAUCUGGGCCGACACUGACGCUGUAGAGCGAAAGCGUGGGGAGCGAACAGG